CACGUAGGCACCAAGCGUUGUCCGGAUUUAUUGGGCGUAAAGAGCUCGUAGGCGGUUCAGUAAGUCGGGUGUGAAAACUCAGGGCUCAACCCUGAGCUGCCACCCGAUACUGCUGUGACUUGAGUCCGGUAGGGGAGUGGGGAAUUCCUGGUGUAGCGGUGAAAUGCGCAGAUAUCAGGAGGAACACCGGUGGCGAAGGCGCCACUCUGGGCCGAGACUGACGCUGAGGAGCGAAAGCGUGGGGAGCAAACAGG
rnacentral:rRNA from 1 species